AUUAAACGCUGGCGGCAUGCCUUACACAUGCAAGUCGAACGGCAGCACGGGGCAACCUGGUGGCGAGUGGCGAACGGGUGAGUAAAGCAUCGGAACGUGCCCUGGAGUGGGGGAUAACGUAGCGAAAGUUACGCUAAUACCGCAUAUUCUGUGAGCAGGAAAGCAGGGGAUCGCAAGACCUUGCGCUCUGGGAGCGGCCGAUGUCGGAUUAGCUAGUUGGUGGGGUAAAGGCCUACCAAGGCGACGAUCCGUAGCGGGUCUGAGAGGAUGAUCCGCCACACUGGGACUGAGACACGGCCCAGACUCCUACGGGAGGCAGCAGUGGGGAAUUUUGGACAAUGGGCGCAAGCCUGAUCCAGCCAUUCCGCGUGCAGGAUGAAGGCCUUCGGGUUGUAAACUUCUUUACUACGCGAAUAGAGGUUAGUACGAGAUACUAAUAGGAAGGUAGUGUAGUAAAAAGCACCGGCUAACUCCGUG
rnacentral:rRNA from 1 species